rnacentral:snRNA from 14 species
GUGCUUGCUUCAGCAACACAUAUACCAGCCUUGUAAUGAUAGAGAUUAACCUGGUCCCUGUGCAAGGACCACACACAAACUCAUAUAUUCUGUUUUUUUUUUU